rnacentral:rRNA from 1 species
GUCCACGCAGUAAACGAUGAGUGCUAGUUGUUGGGAGUCAAAUCUCAGUGACGCAGUUAACGCAUUAAGCACUCCGCCUGGGGAGUACGUACGCAAGUAUGAAACUCAAAGGAAUUGACGGGGACCCGCACAAGCAGCGGAGCAUGUGGUUUAAUUCGAAGCAACGCGAAGAACCUUACCAAGGCUUGACAUAUAUAUGGCGGAUAUAGAGAUAUAUCUUUUCUUCGGAACAUAUAUACAGGUGGUGCAUGGUUGUCGU